rnacentral:rRNA from 1 species
GAUGAAUGCUGGCGGCGUGCCUAACACAUGCCAGUCGAGCGGCAGCGCGGGGUGCUUGCACCCUGUCGGCGAGCGGCGAACGGCUGAGUAACGCGUAGGAAUUUGCCCCAAAGUGAGGAAUAACUGCCCGAAAGGGUAGCUAAUGCCGCAUAUGGUCUUCGGAUUAAAGGAUUUAUCCGCUUUGGGAGAAGCCUGCGUUGGAUUAGGUUGUUGGUAGGGUAAUGGCCUACCAAGCCGACGAUCCAUAGCUGGUCUGAGAGGAUGAUCAGCCAGACUGGAACUGAGACACGGUCCAGACUCCUGCGGGAGGCAGCAGUGAGGAAUCUUCCACAAUGGGCGAAAGCCUGAUGGAGCAACGCCGCGUGAAGGAUGAAGGCCUUCGGGUUGUAAACUUCUUUUAUGAGUGAAGAAUAUGACGGUAACUCAUGAAUAAGCACCGGCUAACUACGUG